rnacentral:rRNA from 1 species
UACGUAGGGUGCGAGCGUUGUCCGGAAUUACUGGGCGUAAAGAGCUCGUAGGUGGUUUGUCGCGUUGUUCGUGAAAACUCACAGCUCAACUGUGGGCGUGCGGGCGAUACGGGCAGACUGGAGUACUGCAGGGGAGACUGGAAUUCCUGGUGUAGCGGUGGAAUGCGCAGAUAUCGGGAAGAACACCCGUGGCGAAGGCGGUUCUCUGGGACGGUACUGGACGCUGAGACGCGAAAGCGUGGGGAGCGAACAGGG